rnacentral:lncRNA from 1 species
UGUAAAACCAGUCACAUACACAGAAUGUUUUAUACAAUAAUGCAGUUUUGCAUAUCAAUUUCUUACACCAGUACAUUUCUUUCAGGUUUUUCCAGCAGUAAAAGUUAUCAAGAAGCACCGGAGAAGAACAGAAAUACACUAAGCAAGAUUAUGAAGAAAUCUUUCAAAACAAUGACCAAAAGUUCGAACUCUAAAAACUCUAGAAAUCUUUUACAAUCCUCUCUGUCUACAAAUGAAUUAGUAAACAGAAAAUUAAAGCUUUUCCCUUGUUCUGAAUGUGAGAAAUGUUUUAACGAUCGCUCAAGUCUUGUUGUGCACAAGAGAACUCAUACAGGAGAGAAACCUUUCUCAUGCAUGGAAUGUGGAAAAUGUUUUAUCCGUAAAGCACAUCUUGUUAGACACACAAGAACUCACACAGGAGAGAAACCUUUUUCAUGUUCAGAAUGUGGAAAAUGUUUUAGCUAUGAAUCAAAUCUUGUUGCACACCAGAAAAUUCACACAGGAGAGAAACCUUUCUCAUGUUCAGAAUGUGUGAAAUGUUUUAGUGUUCAAUCAAGUCUGGUUAGUCAUCAAAAAACUCACACAGGCGUGAAAUCUUUCUCGUGUUCAGAAUGUGGGAAAUGUUUUAGCAUUAAAUCAAAUCUGGUCACCCAUCAAAGAACUCACACAGGAGUGAAACCUUUCCCAUGUUCAGAAUGUGGGAAAUGUUUUAGCAUUAAAUCAAGUCUGGUUGGACACCAGAGAACUCACACAGGAGAGAAACCGUUCUCAUGUUCUGAAUGUGGAAAACGUUUUAGCAAUCAAUCAAGUAUUGUUAGGCAUGAGAGAACUCACACAGGAGAGAAACCAUUUUCAUGUUCUGAAUGUGGAAAAUGUUUUAGCCAACCCUCCCACCUUGUUGGGCACAAGAGAAUUCACACAGGAGAGAAACCAUUCUCAUGUUCUGAAUGUGGAAAAGAUUUUAGUGAUCACUCACAUCUUGUUUUGCACAAGAGAACUCACACAGGAGAGAAACCUUUCUCAUGUCUUGAAUGUGGGAAAUGUUUUAGCCUGCCUUCACAUCUCGUUAAACAUCAGAGAAGUCACACAGGAGAGAAACCUUUCUCAUGUUCAGAAUGUGGGAAAUGUUUUAGUGUUCAAUCAAAUCUUGUUGCACACCAGAGAACUCACACAGGUGAGAAACCUUUCUCUUGUUCGGAAUGUGGGAAAUGUUUUAGAGUUCAAUCAAGUCUUGUUAGUCAUCAGACAACUCACACAGGAGUGAAACCUUUCUCUUGUUCAAUAUGUGGAAAAUGGUUUAGCGUUCCUUCAAAUCUUGUCACCCAUCAGAGAACUCACACAGGAGAGAAACCAUUCCCAUGUUCUGAAUGUGGAAAAUGUUUUAACAGUCAAUCAAAUCUUGUUGGACACCAGAGAGCUCACACAGGAGAGAAACCGUUCUCAUGUUCUGAAUGUGGAAAACGUUUUAGCAAUCAAUCAAGUAUUGUUAGGCAUGAGAGAACUCACACAGGAGAGAAACCUUUUACAUGUUCUGAAUGUGGGAAAUGUUUUACCCUGCAUUCACAUCUUGCUAAACACGAAAGAACUCACACAGGAGAGAAGCCGUGAUCGUGUAAAGAAUGUGGGAAAAGUUUUCUCAGCACUUGUUACACAUCAGACAACACAUACUGGAGAAGAACUUUUCUCGUGUCCUAAAUAAGUUAAAUGUUUUAACCAGCACUCAAACAUUAUCAGAGAAAUCAUACAAAAUUGAAAUUGUGAUGUUUAUUUAAAGUUAAUAUUGUAUUUGUUAACUAAUUAUAGCCUAUGUAGUAAUUAAUCAUUUUAUAAUAUUGAUUAAAGCAAGAGCUACUGAUGGGUCAUUAAUAAUGUUGACCCAAUCACAAUAACUCUAUUAUGAUCCUUUUUUUUUUUUUUCAAAGCAGUCAAGCUUUAUGGAUCAUAAUCAUUCAGAAGAUUUAGUAACACAUAAACAAGCAUUGUGCCUUUAUUGCAUUUAACAGAUUGAAUAAUAAAAAAUAAAAAAAAAUACUUUUAAACUACCUUCUCAUUUUUGAGGUAUUAGUGUUUUAUGAGUGAACAGAACAAACACUUCCCUAAGAUGAUCACUGUGACGGACCGCCUGACAUCCCAACCGGGUGCCUCCACCAAUCGCUGCUCCUAGUGCUCACUGUGACGGACACCCCGAGUGAGCAGGGGUAUAUGCCGCCAUAGAUGUCCUUUUUCCCUAUGUCACGUAUUCAUCUGCUUAUAAAAAUGUGGUUAAUGACAUUUACUGUCCACACAUGAAAAGUUGUGCUGAGCAGCAACCAAAUCCACAGAAGGGUUAAUGCUGAGCAGCAAUUAUGCAAAUGGGAACCUGGUAACUGCUUUGAGGUCAAAGGCCGGUUACAGCCUAUCAGAUCUAGAGGAGGGGUAUUUAGGCCCAGUUCUCA